AUCACCACCUACCACUUACCUCCACUUUGAAGUUGCCGGCUGGAGCACAGAGUUGGCUGGACUGGGGUCCCAAAGAUGGCGGCCGAGGUACUUCCGGUUGCCGCACCUGAGUGUCUGGCUCGCGCGCUCUAGGUAAAUAACUCUGUGGUUGUAGCCCUACUGCCGUUCUUUAAAAAACUAUGUGAUCAUGUUUUUCUUCCAAACUCAUUGUUUUAGCACACACGCUGACUUCCAUCAGUAAUGAUUUACAUUGAAUCAUUGGUUUGUAGGGGGAAAGAGUGGGUGAAUAUAAUUAUCUCGGUCUAACUUAUAGUUUAUUAUACCGCUAUUCGCAGCAAUAUCUUUCUCUGCUCCGAUUGCAACGCUGCCUCGUUCAAAUAUCAUAACACCGCCGCGGUCGCCACGUUUACCAGCAAAGAGUCUCCUUGUUUACCAGCCGGAGCCUCAAAUCAUGUCCCUUUGUGGUGAUAAAGAGGACACAGCCUGGUGUGAAGCUACAUUUAUUGCGGAAGGAUGCCAGCCGGGAUCCGAACACGUCCGAUAUCAUCCAAGAGAAUGUGGCAGCUGAAGGGGAGAGUCCAAGAAAGAGGCCAAGGGUGAAGUCAUUUAGCCACUCCCUGAACUACAUGGCAGCAUCCAACCCUCUUGGUGAGCUGCAGGGAUGUGCUUCCAAUUGCAGUGCACCAGCUCCAUGUACUGAUUUUGGGUGUGAACUUGAUGGGGUUGGAGGAAACUCGACUCGACCAUCAAGCUCACCACAAUAUAACAUGAAAAGUGAAAAUUGCUGCACACAGCAGUCUGCCGUCUGCACCGGGAGGCAAGGCAGCUCAAAGCCCAGGCUGUUACAACUCCUGGGCAGUUUUUGCCCAGAGCCAGCAAUUUUUUAGAUCCAACAGGGAUGGAUUUUUUCUGAGGUCAGGUUCAACAUGCUGCAAGAUGCCAAGAUCUAAGCCUAGUAGAAGAUAUGGGUUACAAGAGAGGAGGUUUGCUCUGGCCUUAUACUAUCAAAGUCCAAAUGCUAAUAGAUUUCUAAGCACAGUAUUUCACUUGCCUUCAGUUUCAACACUUCACUCAUGACUCAGGGGUAUUUCAGUACAUGUUGGCUGGAGCAAACAGACUCUGACAGCCCUGCAGCAAAGAGCACAGGCUUUGUCAAAAGAAGAGAUACUUCGUGGGAUUUGCCAUUAUUUAGUAUUACUCUUGUUACGCCAAGAAUUUUUUUCCAUAUACUUUGCCAAAUAUUGCAAGUAAUGUACCAUUGUUGGGCUUGCCUGUUAUAAAUCAGAUCUUGUUCAAUUAACAAGCUUUGGGUGUCUGCCACUUUCCAGUUGUAAUGCAAGGAAUCAUUUACCUCCCCUGCUAGAUAUCACAUGUAAUGCACCAUUGUUGGUUUUGCCUGUUAUAAAUCAGAUCUUGUUCAGUUAACAAGCUUUAGGUGUCUGCCACUUUCCAGUUGUAAUGCAAGGAAUCCCCUGCCAGGUAUCGCAUGUAAUGCACCAUUGUUGGUUUUGCCUGUUAUAAAUCAGAUCUUGUUCAGCUCACAAGCUUUGAAUAUCUGCCAUUGUUUAUUUCAGGUGUAAUGCUUGGAAGCAUUUGUUCUCUCCCCUACCCAACAGUAUGCAAUGCUUUAUUGUGGAUUUUGCCUGUUAUAUUUAAUCUUGUUCAGGUAACAAGCUUUUGGUGUCUGCCUUACCGAAUAAUGUGCUGCAGUGACACUUGGCUUGAUUUCAUAAUGUGAAAUACAGCAUGUAAUUUCAUCACACUAAGUGUCUAUCAUCACAUGUCUGGCAUCAUUAAUGUGGCUUCAAGGAGUAAUCUUGUUUGUAUUACAGCAUGCAUUGUUUUUUCUGCUUUAUAUGAUAUGCAUAAUCACAUAGGUAUGAUUUUUUUUUUUUUUUUUUGACAAAAUGUAAUGGCAGUUGAUAUUC